CAGCAGCCGCGGGAAUACGUAGGUCCCGAGCGUUGUCCGGAUUUAUUGGGCGUAAAGCGAGCGCAGGCGGUUAGAUAAGUCUGAUGUGAAAGCCCCCGGCUCAACCGGGGAGGGUCAUUGGAAACUGGGAAACUUGAGUGCAGAAGAGGAGAGUGGAAUUCCACGUGUAGCGGUGAAAUGCGUAGAGAUGUGGAGGAACACCAGUGGCGAAGGCGACUCUCUGGUCUGUAACUGACGCUGAGGAGCGAAAGCGUGGGGAGCGAACAGGAUUAGAUACCCGAGUAGUCCCUGUCUCUUAUAC
rnacentral:rRNA from 1 species